rnacentral:lncRNA from 1 species
GGGGUCCCUUUUUAUAGACGGAGUGCGUAACUAAUUGACAACGACAUCUGUAACUGCCUGGUAGUAGGCUGUUCAGAGCCGCCCAGAGUUUGUUACAGAGAGCAGUGGCAUCAGGGGUCAUUCAGAGCCAUGUGGAGUUUGUUAUGGAGAGUAGAGUGGUGUUCGUUGUCGCGACUUGCCAGAGAGUAGUGGAGCCACGUGAAAUCCAUUACAGAGAGUGGAGCAGGGUAGUG